GCGGGUGUAGCAUAGUGGUAAUGUUCCAGCCUUCCAAGCUGGCCACACGGGUUCGAUUCCCGUCACCCGCU
rnacentral:tRNA from 1 species